UAUGGCCACAACACAUUGAAACACCAUUUCCUGUAUGAUAACCGAAGUUAAGCAAUGUUGAGCCUGGCCAGUACCUAGAUGGGUGACCAUUUGGGAAUACCAGGUUCUGUAGG